rnacentral:rRNA from 1 species
UACGUAGGGACCAAGCGUUGUUCGGAUUUACUGGGCGUAAAGGGCGCGUAGGCGGCGUGUUAAGUCACUUGUGAAAUCUCUGAGCUUAACUCAGAACGGUCAAGUGAUACUGAUGUGCUAGAGUGCAGAAGGGGCAACCGGAAUUCUUGGUGUAGCGGUGAAAUGCGCAGAUAUCGGGAGGAACACCGGUGGCGAAGGCGGUUCUCUGGGCCUUACCUGACGCUGAGGAGCGAAAGCGUGGGGAGCGAACAGG